CUUAUACUCCCUCCGUCCAGAAAUACUUGUUGUCAAGAUGAAUAAAUUUUUUAGUUCUAGAUACACCCCUUUUUAUCCAUUUUCAUGACAAGUAUUUCCGGACGGAGGGAGUAUUUG
rfam:Triticum aestivum genome assembly, contig: Triticum_aestivum_CS42_TGACv1_scaffold_433878_5DL